rnacentral:rRNA from 1 species
CGUCGAUCUUAUUUUGUUGGUUUCUAAGACCGCCGUAAUGAUUAAUAGGGACGGUUGGGGGCAUUAGUAUUCAAUUGUCAGAGGUGAAAUUCUUGGAUUUUUUGAAGACUAACUACUGCGAAAGCAUUUGCCAAGGAUGUUUUCAUUAAUCAAGAACGAAAGUUAGGGGAUCGAAGACGAUUAGAUACCGUCGUAGUCUUAACCAUAAACUAUGCCGACUAGGGAUCGGGCGUAGUCUCAAAAAGUUACUCGCUCGGCACCUUAAGAGAAAUCAAAGUUUUUGGGUUCUGGGGGGAGUAUGGUCGCAAGGCUGAAACUUAAAGGAAUUGACGGAAGGGCACCACCAGGAGUGGAGCCUGCGGCUUAAUUUGACUCAACACGGGGAAACUCACCAGGUCCAGA